rnacentral:rRNA from 1 species
UACGUAGGGGGCAAGCGUUGUUCGGAAUUACUGGGCGUAAAGGGCGCGUAGGCGGCACAGCAAGUCGGGAGUGAAAGCCCGGGGCUCAACCCCGGAACUGCUUUCGAAACUGCUGAGCUAGAGUGCGGAAGAGGCAACUGGAAUUCCCAGUGUAGCGGUGAAAUGCGUAGAUAUUGGGAAGAACACCGGAGGCGAAGGCGGGUUGCUGGGCCGACACUGACGCUGAGGCGCGAAAGCCAGGGGAGCGAACGGG